rnacentral:rRNA from 1 species
CCCUUAGAUGUUCUGGGCUGCACGCGUGCUACACUGAUUAUUUCAACAAGUGUUUUAACUGGAGAGUUCGCGUAAUCCUGAAAUGUUAUCGUGAUGGGAGUAGAGUAUUGUAUUUGUUAAUCUUUAACGAGGAAUUCCUAGCAAGUGUAGGUUUAUAAGUUGUUCUGAUUACGUCCCUGCCCUUUGUACACACCGCCCGUCGCUCCUACCGAUUGAGUGGUCCGGUGAGGCUUUGGGAUCUGAGCGGAAAGAGCGUUUCGCUGUUUCUGCUCGGAAAACUCAGUCGAACCUUAUCAUUUAGAGGAAGGAGAAGUCGUAACA